rnacentral:lncRNA from 1 species
AGACGCGCCGCGCAGCAGGUCGGAGCAGCCUCCCCGGGAGGAUGUCCAGCGGCAGCGCUCCUCGCUCCAGCCCUUGGGGAUCUUCCGCUGAGGCAUUGAAGGCAGGAAGAAGGGGUCCGUCAUCGGCUCGCCGGGCUGCGCGCCACCUCUGCUAUCUUGCGGAAAGAGGAGCGGGCAUACAACUUAGGAUUCAUAACUACAUAUAUACGGAUAGAAGUGCAUGAACAGAAAAUCUGCCCUUCUGGAAUACCAAAUGCAAAAUUAAAGUGACUACAAGCAGAAUUUGGAGAAAAAAAUAAAAGAUGCAAUAUAGUUUUUAAAAUCAUUGUUAAAAUAUAAUGAGUCUGUACUUUGCUUAAACAAUAAAAAAGUCUU